UACGAGGGGGGGCGAGCGUUGUCCGGAAUUAUUGGGCGUAAAGAGCUCGUAGGCGGUUCGUCACGUCGGCUGUGAAAUCCCGAGGCUCAACCUCGGGGUCUGCAGUCGAUACGGGCGGACUUGAGUACUGCAGGGGAGACUGGAAUUCCUGGUGUAGCGGUGAAAAUGCGCAGAUAUCAGGAGGAACACCGGUGGCGAAGGCGGGGUCUCUGGGGCAGUAACUGACGUGAGGAGCGAAAAGCGUGGGGGGAGCGAAACAGGG
rnacentral:rRNA from 1 species